rnacentral:rRNA from 1 species
GAUGAACGCUGGCGGCGUGCCUAAUACAUGCAAGUCGAGCGAACGGACGAGAAGCUUGCGUCUCUGAUGUUAGCGGCGGACGGGUGAGUAACACGUGGAUAACCUACCUAUAAGACUGGGAUAACUUCGGGAAACCGGAGCUAAUACCGGAUAAUAUUUUGAACCGCAUGGUUCAAAAGUGAAAGACGGUCUUGCUGUCACUUAUAGAUGGAUCCGCGCUGCAUUAGCUAGUUGGUAAGGUAACGGCUUACCAAGGCAACGAUGCAUAGCCGACCUGAGAGGGUGAUCGGCCACACUGGAACUGAGACACGGUCCCGACUCCUGCGGGAGGCCGCAGUAGGGACUCUUCCGCAAUGGGCGAGAGCCUGACGGAGCAACGCCGCGUGAGUGCUGAAGGUCUUCGGAUCGUUAAGCUCUGUUAUUAGGGAAGAACAUAUGUGUAAGUACCUGUGCACAUCUUGACGGUACCUAAUCAGAAAGCCCCGGCUAACUCCGUG